rnacentral:rRNA from 1 species
UACGGAGGGGGCUAGCGUUGUUUCGGAAUUACUGGGCGUAAAGCGCACGUAGGCGGCUUUGUAAGUUAGAGGUGAAAGCCCGGGGCUCAACUCCGGAAUUGCCUUUAAGACUGCAUCGCUAGAAUUGUGGAGAGGUAAGUGGAAUUCCGAGUGUAGAGGUGAAAUUCGUAGAUAUUGGAAGAACACCAGUGGCGAAGGCGACUUACUGGACACAUAUUGACGGACUGAGGUGCGAAAGCAGUGGGGAGCAAAC